rnacentral:RNase_P_RNA from 1 species
CGGCCGGACGGCCGCGGGACGGGGACCAUCGCCACCAGGCGACAGGCCCGCAUUCCCGAGGAAAGUCCGGACUCCUCAGAGCACGGUGGUUGUUAACGGCAACCCGGGGUGACCCGCGGGACAGUGCCACAGAAAAACAGACCGCCCGGUGCGAGCCGGGUAAGGGUGAAAAGGUGCGGUAAGAGCGCACCAGUGCGGCAGGUGACUGCCGUAGCUGGGUAAACCCCACCGGGAGCAAGGUCAUGGAUGUCCGCACCGUCCGCGGUGCGGGCAGUGCCCCGUCGGCUGCUCGUCGGACAAGGGGCAGGUAGACCGCUCGAGACGGCCGGUGACGGCCGCCCCAGAUGGAUGAUCACCUCGUCCCGCAAGGGAUAGGACAGAAUCCGGCUCACAGACCCUCUCG